UUUUUUCCAGGUAUAUUAAACCCUAUUUAUGGUGCAGAUUUCAUUCUUUGCAAGCGUCCACAUCCCUUCAGCUUCGAAAGAAGAAGUGCCCUUCCUCUCCCCAUCUUAUCGAACACAAGGAAUCAGACUGCCAUUAAAAUGUCGUCUGAAUCCUGGGCGUGCAUAUUUGCUCUUUUACGUGGCUGCGUCUCUCCGCAGGGAAGAACCAUGAAACAGAAUAGAAGUCUUGAUAUUUUAUGCUCAAAAUAAAGAACAGCCGUAGUUCAAGUUUAUCAGUGAAACCACUCAAUACGAAGGAUCCCUUCCCAUACUUUGGCUCAUGCGUAUGUUAAAUAUGCUUGCUCUUCUACAUACCUAUGUAUAAUAAUUCUUAAAAUACAUGCUGAAAGUUUCAUUCGAAUUGUCUCUUGUGUACAGUAUCUGUUUAUAAUUCUGCAUAAUGUGUUGCAUUUUUUGUUAUUUGUUUCGCUUU